rnacentral:misc_RNA from 1 species
GAUGAAGAACGCAGCGAAAUGCGAUACGUAAUGUGAAUUGCAAAUUCAGUGAAUCAUCGAGUCUUUGAACGCACAUUGCGCCCCCUGGUAUUCCGGGGGGCAUGCCUGUCCGAGCGUCAUUGCUGCCCUCAAGCACGGCUUGUGUGUUGGGCCCCGUCCUCCGAUCCCGGGGGACGGGCCCGAAAGGCAGCGGCGGCACCGCGUCCGGUCCUCGAGCGUAUGGGGCUUUGUCACCCGCUCUGUAGGCCCGGCCGGCGCUUGCCGAGCAACCCAAAUUUUUAUCCAGGUUGACCUCGGAUCAGGUAGGGAUACCCGCUGAACUUAAGCAUAUCAAUAAGCGGAGGA